rnacentral:misc_RNA from 1 species
GCUCUACAGAGCAACCAUUCUGUCCUGUUUGUCUCGAGAGAUUGGACCAGGAUACAAGUGGAAUUCUCACAACCAUUUGUAAUCAUUCCUUUCAUUGUUCAUGUAUUUCAAAAUGGACAGAUUCUUCAUGCCCCGUAUGCCGAUAUUGUCAGCAGCAGCCUGGAAACUCAACAUGUUCUAUCUGUCAAUCACCAGAAAAUCUAUGGAUGUGUGUUAUUUGUGGUUUUGUUGGGUGUGGAAGAUAUAAAGAGGCUCAUGCUACAAGGCACUGGAAGGAGACACAACAUUGCUAUGCACUUGAAUUAGAAACACGGCGUGUCUGGGACUACGCAGGGGAUAACUAUGUUCACCGUUUGAUUCAGUCUAAAACUGAUGGGAAGCUGGUUGAGCUCAACCACCAUGGUCAUCAUGAUAGUGAUGGCUGCUGCAGCUGCGAGUGUGGUACAGAUCCUGGGUUCAGCGAGACUAUUUUAAACAGCAAAGUUGAAGCUAUUGUGAACGAGUACAAUGAUCUCCUGACUUCCCAACUGGAGGAUCAAAAAAUGUACUUUGAGUCCUUAUUGCAAGAGGCUGAAGAAGAAAUUGAAAGGGAAACUAAGGAAGCUGUUGAGAAAGUUCUAUGCCAGAAUCCAAGGUUAAUGAAGUUAAAAGUUCGUUUGGACAAAUGCGUUGAAGAGAAGAAAUUCCAUGAUGACAUCAAUGACAAUCUUACGAGGAACAAGGAGAUAUGGGAAGCCAAGAUAUUGGAAAUUGAAGAAAGGGAGAAGGCGGCUUUGAAAAUGAAGGAUGAGGAGAUAUCCGAAUUGGAGGAACAGAUUGCCACUUUGAUGGAGUCCAUCGAUACAUAGAAUGAAUUUAAAGGGAUGUCAUAGCAAAUCAUGAAAUGAAGGACGAAGAUAACCUUUAACAUCAAACAAUUCCAUCGGAUUGACAGCCUACCUGGAGUGUAGAUGCAUCUGCAAAGCGCAGUGACAAAGAGACCUUGAAGUCGAGUGUCAAGGGAAAACAGCCUGGGAUCUUACACCAGUAUUGAUCAAAGUGCUAAAGUGAAAAUACAUUUUCCCUCCUCCACAGUACAAUAUUACUAGUCUAUAGAGUAACCUUGUGUAAAUUGUUUUGACAGUGCUUCAAACAACUAUAAACUUUAUUGCAAACAAAAGGUGAAUCAUA